GUAGGUGGCAAGCGUUGUCCGGAAUUAUUGGGCGUAAAGCGCGCGCAGGCGGUCCUUUAAGUCUGAUGUGAAAGCCCACGGCUCAACCGUGGAGGGUCAUUGGAAACUGGGGGACUUGAGUACAGAAGAGGAAAGCGGAAUUCCAAGUGUAGCGGUGAAAUGCGAAGAGAUUUGGAGGAACACCAGUGGCGAAGGCGGCUUUCUGGUCUGUAACUGACGCUGAGGCGCGAAAGCGUGGGGAGCAAACAGGAUUAGAUACCCUGGUAGUCCACGCCGUAAACGAUGAGUGCUAAGUGUUAGGGGGUUUCCCGCCCCCCUUAGUGCUGCAGCUAACGCAUUAAGCACUCCGCCUGGGGAGUACGGCCGCAAGGCUA
rnacentral:rRNA from 1 species